GGGCCCGCACAAGCGGUGGAGUAUGUGGUUUAAUUCGAUGCAACGCGAAGAACCUUACCAGGGUUUGACAUCCUGCGAAUCUCUUGGAAACUUGAGAGUGCCUUCGGGAGCGCAGUGACAGGUGGUGCAUGGCUGUCGUCAGCUCGUGUCGUGAGAUGUUGGGUUAAGUCCCGCAACGAGCGCAACCCACGUCUUUAGUUGCCAGCAUUUAGUUGGGCACUCUAGAGAGACUGCCGGUGAUAAACCGGAGGAAGGUGUGGAUGACGUCAAGUCAUCAUGCCCCUUACAUCCUGGGCUACACACGUACUACAAUGCUACGGACAAAGGGCUGCAAGUUCGCGAGGACAAGCAAAAUCCCAUAAACCGUGGCUCAGUUCAGAUCGUAGGCUGCAACUCGCCUACGUGAAGGCGGAAUCGCUAGUAAUCGCAGGUC
rnacentral:rRNA from 1 species